CUUGAAUCUACAUGAAUGUAGGUGAAGAACCAGAAACAACUGAGGUCUGUCUACUGAAAAAUUGAAAAACCAAACUCUUGAAGGGACAUGCCACUUAUUUUACAGGGCAAAGAAAGUACUUACAAGAGUUAUGGUAGAAAUCAGACUAGGAAUCAGCAGAGAUAGCAAUUAGCACUGACAUCCCUGGUGGAUUUGAACAGUGUGAGUCUAUAGUGGCCACUUGCAUCCAAUUCAGUGACUUCCUGGAAGAAGGUACUGCAGCCCGGAGGUGAGAACACAAAAGGGAGGGGAGAAUUGACAUGACAAGGAGAACAAGGAAGCUGGAGGCAAAAAGCCAGACCAUGGCCUUGGGUUCAUGCUUGAGCACGGAGUUUAAAUGAAUGACUUCCACCUGAGAGUCCCCUCUGCCAAGUCGACAUGACAAGGAGAACAAGGAAGCUGGAGGCAAAAAGCCAGACCAUGGCCUUGGGUUCAUGCUUGAGCACGGAGUUUAAAUGAAUGACUUCCACCUGAGAGUCCCCUCUGCCAAGUCCAGGAGGGAUGGAGUAUGCCCUUCAUCUUCAACAUUGAACAGACUUAAUGCUUCUUCCCAAUGCAGAAUGGCAAAAGGAUCUAAUGUAAAUUCAAUACAGAAUGUUUUAAUAUGUGGCAGAACAACAGGGUGAUGGUGAAAAGGUCAGUUAACCAAUGGGUUGGUUUGUCAUGAUGGCACGAAUGAGUUAUUUUAAAUGAUUCUCCCACUAAAUUUUCCAGAUGUUUUGGACAUGGGCCAGGAUAAUUAAUAUUGCUGAUCCACUUGCUAGAAUUAAGCUGGCAAGCUAAUUCACAGAGUUAGAAAUCAGAACUCUGGGUUGGGGUUGUUGGUAAGCCAUGUGCAUUAUGUUUAAAUGAAACAUGCUUGUCUCAUCGCUGACCCAGACCAAAAAUUUGCUGAGGUACUUGAGAUGAUUACUCAUUUUUCAUCAUCAGAAAGUAAAUCAAAGUAGAUGCCAUGCUUUUGUUUGAUUUUUAUUCCCUAGAAAGAUCUCUUUAUAUUCAUGACAAAUCUUAUGUUCAAC
rnacentral:lncRNA from 1 species